CUCACCUGCCUUGGUCUUUCACAUGCACUUCAAACAGAUGCUCCUAAAGACAAUAAAAGUUGGUGACUUAUUCAGCAGGUGCCCCUUUAUGCUUCCAGGCACCCGCCUAUGACGUCACGGGCCACAUGGACCAAUAGGAUUGGAGUUUUUUCUCACGUGCUUCAGACACUGGUCAUGCUGGCAGCAUUCCCCAUAGUGUCCGCUAGAGAACGCAGUACGCCUUCCACAGACAAUAUAAAUACAUAUGAAUAAAUUCAAUUCUAAUUCUGUAUCCUGCAGUUCGAGUGCAGCGAGGUAUGUCAUAGCAGGAAGCUGUUUCAUAUCAGUCGGAUUGAGCCAGUCAGUAUGAUGUUUAUAUGAGGGGCUGUUUUAUGUUUUGAAUGUGUAAACUUCAUGGAUGCUAGCGUGUCUGUGUGCAGGUUGGGGGGGACGUGCCUACCGGCUUAUUUCCAGCUGAGAGCCGUAGAGUGUGUCAAUAAUUUUCAAGAUGUACGGACCCGGACUAUGCUGCUGUUUUGUCUUCAUUAUUCUUAUUGCCCUCAUUGCUGUUGUUUUUAUUGUGUUUUUGUUUUAUUGUUUUUGUGCUAUGCUUUUCGCUUUAGUUGGUUGUCUUUUUGUUUUGUGAAUAUUGGAAUGUUUAUUAGGUUUUGUGUUGUUUUUUUUCAUGUUCUAAUUUCUUUUUCUUUUUUUUCUUGUUAAUAUAAUAUACUGCAAGAUUGGUAUUCUUGUUUGUGGGUACUUAAAGGGUUAGUUCACCCAAAAAUGAAAAUUCUGUCAUUAAUUACUCACCCUUCGUUCAUAUUUGGAACACAAAUUAAGGUAUUUUUGAGGGAAUCUGAGAUCUCUGACCAUCCGUAGACAGCAACGCAACUGAAACGUUCCCAGGUCCAGAAACUAGCAAGGACAUCGAUAAAACAGUCCAUGUGACAUCAGUUGCUCAACGAGAAUACUUUUUGAGCGCAAAGAAAACAAAAAUAACAAUUUAUUCAACAAUUCUCCUCCCCCGAGUUACCCCCUGCAGCACCCCAUUAGAACUGUGCCUGGAUACAAACGGUGCAUUAAAUGCAACAAAUUAAAUAUGUAAUAAGAAUAUCAUACAUGCUUUUAGGAGUGAAAAAUUAUCGAAAUCUAGCUUUGUAAUCAUAAAUAUAUUGAUGCCUUUCGAAUCAUUAUAUUGAUGGCAAAGGUCUUUCAUAAAGCAAAGAGUCACUGGUAGCCAUGUUGGUAGCACUUGAGGGUGCUUUUAGCGUUUAUAGAUACAUUCAAUAACAAUCUGUAUAUUAUUUUUGCGAUUUUUAAUGAAAUAAGAAUUUUGAAUAAUGAAAAUGUGUUUGUGUGCUUAUUCUAUUCAUCAGUGUUAGAACCAUUAAAGAAGAAACCACAUUUUCUGUAUUUC
rnacentral:lncRNA from 1 species